GUAGUCCACGCCCUAAACGAUGUCAACUGGUUGUUGGUGGGGUUAAACCCAUUAGUAACGAAGCUAACGCGUGAAGUUGACCGCCUGGGGAGUACGGCCGCAAGGUUAAAACUCAAAGGAAUUGACGGGGACCCGCACAAGCGGUGGAUGAUGUGGAUCAAUUCGAUGCAACGCGAAGAACCUUACCUACCCUUGACAUGCCAGGGAGCUCGAUGAGAGUCGAGUGUGCCCGAAAGGGAACCUGGACACAGGUGCUGCAUGGCUGUCGUCAGCUCGUGUCGUGAGAUGUUGGGUUAAGUCCCGCAACGAGCGCAACCCUUGUCACUAGUUGCUACGCAAGGGCACUCUAGUGAGACUGCCGGUGACAAACCGGA
rnacentral:rRNA from 1 species